GGUUACAUCAGACAUAACCAUAUUAUAAACUGGAUGUUCGGCUCUUGGAACACAUCGCUGGUGCUGCAUACAAAAUAUGACUACUUGAGGACCAACAAUUCUGCAGCCAAGCUACAAAAAAGAAAAAGUUUGAAUGUAAGCUGAGAAAGCAUGGAUCUUUGCCUGCUCUGAUCAUUGCUGUGUCACAAGUACUAAAAUAGUGCUUAUCAGAUCACGGACAUUCAAUAAGUACUUGCUGAAUGAAUGAACUUUAAAGAAAAACGUGCUACAUCAGUGCUUCUUAAGACUUGAAUGUACACAGGAAUCACACUGCGAAUCUUGUUAAACUGCAGAUUCUAACUGCUCCCUGAGUGUUGGCGAGAUUCUGGGAUGGAACCUAAUGUUCAAAUGGCAAAGAUCGGGGGAGAGGAGUGCCUACAGAUGGCAGUGGGCAGCUUGAGUCUACGUGUGUGCAUACACCCGUGGAAGGUGAGUCAGAUCAGUAACCCUGGGACUCAAAAAUAAAGGCCCGUUGUUGAGGAGAGGGUGAAGAAAGCUUUAGAAAUAAAUAAAAGUUACUAGAGGUGUAAAAAAAAAAAAAAAAAGAACAAAAAGGAGAUGCCACACUUAAUUGUAAAGGCGCAAAGCUUCAUGAAGCUGUGGUGCUUUACAGUAGAUCAAAGACUCCUGCUUGCACUAUUCCCGUUUACUCAGCACUCCUCUGGUAUGUGGGCAUCACUGUCCUGUGCUAUGUAGAUGGGAAAAGAGAGGCUCAGGGACUGUGUGACUCGCCCAGGGCCACACAGCCAGGAUGUGGCCGCACCUGGGCUUGAGAAGAGGCAGCACCAUGACUGGAAACCCUGUCCCCUUCCUGACACACCACACUGGUCCUUGUCACAUGCUGCCUGCCCUUCUCUGCACGAAGGUCAGCACCCAGGCAGGAGCCCGUUCCUGACAUUUCUGGGGCUGAGUGGAGGCCUCUCAAGAGGAGGAGAUUCAUAGAUGCUUCUAAUGAAGAGGACGAGGACAAUGAGAUCAAUCCCGUAGGUUUUAGCAGCUGGAUUUGAAUAGCAGGGGAGUGGAUUCGUCUUUAGAGUAUGAGACCAGGUGACAGGUUCUCCCAUCUGUGUCUCCACAUAGGCAGGGAGGGUCUGUAUCUGUCCCUGAAGUACCUAAUCUUGGGCAUUAGCGAGAACAGUGGUUCUCUAUCCAGUGUGGUGCCUGGACCAGCUGCCUCAGCAUCACCUGAGAACUUCUUAGCAAUGAAAGUUUUGGGCCUGACUUUGGACACGCUGAGUCAGGAAUUCUGGGGUGGGUUCCAGCGUUCUGUGCUUUAACAAGCCCUCCAGGAGGUUCUGAUGCACUUUUUAAAGUUUGCUUGAACAGCAAUCGUUUAGGAAAGUGAAAUUGGUGACAUGGGUUGUGGUCCAUGAAGAUUUUGGUGAAAACGAAGAAUAGUUGUGAUGUGCCCUCAGGAAGCUGCCUCAGAAAAUGGGUUCAAGGAUUAACUUUUCCCUUACCUCCCUGACAUUUAGGAUCACCCCCCUGUUUCUUUGUCAGUUUUGUCACCUAGAACCAGACACUCCAGACCCUGCUAGGAGUAGGAUUAAAGGGAACUUUAUCUGUUUGUAGAAUGAAAAAACACAGGAAACAAAUAUGACAAAAUAGUUACUUUUAAAAU